rnacentral:rRNA from 1 species
GGGCGGCAGCCUACCAUGCAGUCGAACGGCAGCAUGAACUGGGGUAACCUAGUUUGAUGGCGAGUGGCGGACGGGUGAGUAAUAUGUAGGAAUCUGCCCAGAGGUAGGGGAUAACUUGGGGAAACUCAAGCUAAUACCAUAUAAGCCCUAAGGGGGAAAGCAGGGGAUCGCAAGACCUUGCGCCUUUGGAUGAGCCUACAUCGGAUUAGCUAGUUGGUAGGGUAAAGGCCUACCAAGGCGACGAUCCGUAGCUGGUCUGAGAGGAUGACCAGCCACACUGGGACUGAGACACGGCCCAGACUCCUACGGGAGGCAGCAGUGGGGAAUAUUGGACAAUGGGGGAAACCCUGAUCCAGCAAUGCCGCGUGUGUGAAGAAGGCCUUCGGGUUGUAAAGCACUUUCAGUGGGGAGGAAGGGGAUGUUGUUAAUACCAACAUUCAUUGACGUUACCCACAGAAGAAGCACCGGCUAACUCUGUGCCAGCAGCCGCGGUAAC